GGGUUGUGAGGUUAAGCGACUAAGCGUACACGGUGGAUGCCCUGGCAGUCAGAGGCGAUGAAGGGCGUGCUAAUCUGCGAUAAGCGCCGGUAAGGUGAUAUGAACCGUUAUAACCGGCGAUACCCGAAUGGGGAAACCCAGUGUGAUUCGUCACACUAUCAUUAACUGAAUCCAUAGGUUAAUGAGGCGAACCGGGGGAACUGAAACAUCUAAGUACCCCGAGGAAAAGAAAUCAACCGAGAUUCCCCCAGUAGCGGCGAGCGAACGGGGAGGAGCCCAGAGCCUGAAUCAGCAUGUGUGUUAGUGGAAGCGUCUGGAAAGGCGCGCGAUACAGGGUGACAGCCCCGUACACAAAAGCGCAUGUGCUGUGAGCUCGAUGAGUAGGGCGGGACACGUGGUAUCCUGUCUGAAUAUGGGGGGACCAUCCUCCAAGGCUAAAUACUCCUGACUGACCGAUAGUGAACCAGUACCGUGAGGGAAAGGCGAAAAGAACCCCGGCGAGGGGAGUGAAAAAGAACCUGAAACCGUGUACGUACAAGCAGUGGGAGCACAGGUUUACCUGUGUGACUGCGUACCUUUUGUAUAAUGGGUCAGCGACUUAUAUUCUGUAGCAAGGUUAACCGAAUAGGGGAGCCGGAGGGAAACCGAGUCUUAAUUGGGCGUUAAGUUGCAGGGUAUAGACCCGAAACCCGGUGAUCUAGCCAUGGGCAGGUUGAAGGUUGGGUAACACUAACUGGAGGACCGAACCGACUAAUGUUGAAAAAUUAGCGGAUGACCUGUGGCUGGGGGUGAAAGGCCAAUCAAACCGGGAGAUAGCUGGUUCUCCCCGAAAGCUAUUUAGGUAGCGCCUCGUGAAUUCAUCUCCGGGGGUAGAGCACUGUUUCGGCUAGGGGGCCAUCCCGGCUUACCAACCCGAUGCAAACUGCGAAUACCGGAGAAUGUUAUCACGGGAGACACACGGCGGGUGCUAACGUCCGUCGUGAAGAGGGAAACAACCCAGACCGCCAGCUAAGGUCCCAAAGUCAUGGUUAAGUGGGAAACGAUGUGGGAAGGCCCAGACAGCCAGGAUGUUGGCUUAGAAGCAGCCAUCAUUUAAAGAAAGCGUAAUAGCUCACUGGUCGAGUCGGCCUGCGCGGAAGAUGUAACGGGGCUAAACCAUGCACCGAAGCUGCGGCAGCGACGCUUAUGCGUUGUUGGGUAGGGGAGCGUUCUGUAAGCCUGCGAAGGUGGCCUGUGAGGGUUGCUGGAGGUAUCAGAAGUGCGAAUGCUGACAUAAGUAACGAUAAAGCGGGUGAAAAGCCCGCUCGCCGGAAGACCAAGGGUUCCUGUCCAACGUUAAUCGGGGCAGGGUGAGUCGACCCCUAAGGCGAGGCCGAAAGGCGUAGUCGAUGGGAAACGGGUUAAUAUUCCCGUACUUGGUGUUACUGCGAAGGGGGGACGGAGAAGGCUAUGUUGGCCGGGCGACGGUUGUCCCGGUUUAAGCGUGUAGGUGUGUGUUCCAGGUAAAUCCGGUUCACUUUAACACUGAGGCGUGAUGACGAGGCACUACGGUGCUGAAGUAACAAAUGCCCUGCUUCCAGGAAAAGCCUCUAAGCAUCAGGUAACAUCAAAUCGUACCCCAAACCGACACAGGUGGUCAGGUAGAGAAUACCAAGGCGCUUGAGAGAACUCGGGUGAAGGAACUAGGCAAAAUGGUGCCGUAACUUCGGGAGAAGGCACGCUGACACGUAGGUGAAGUGAUUUACUCACGGAGCUGAAGUCAGUCGAAGAUACCAGCUGGCUGCAACUGUUUAUUAAAAACACAGCACUGUGCAAACACGAAAGUGGACGUAUACGGUGUGACGCCUGCCCGGUGCCGGAAGGUUAAUUGAUGGGGUCAGCGCAAGCGAAGCUCCUGAUCGAAGCCCCGGUAAACGGCGGCCGUAACUAUAACGGUCCUAAGGUAGCGAAAUUCCUUGUCGGGUAAGUUCCGACCUGCACGAAUGGCGUAAUGAUGGCCAGGCUGUCUCCACCCGAGACUCAGUGAAAUUGAACUCGCUGUGAAGAUGCAGUGUACCCGCGGCAAGACGGAAAGACCCCGUGAACCUUUACUAUAGCUUGACACUGAACAUUGAGCCUUGAUGUGUAGGAUAGGUGGGAGGCUUUGAAGUGUGGACGCCAGUCUGCAUGGAGCCGACCUUGAAAUACCACCCUUUAAUGUUUGAUGUUCUAACGUGGACCCGUUACCCGGGUUGCGGACAGUGUCUGGUGGGUAGUUUGACUGGGGCGGUCUCCUCCUAAAGAGUAACGGAGGAGCACGAAGGUUGGCUAAUCCUGGUCGGACAUCAGGAGGUUAGUGCAAUGGCAUAAGCCAGCUUGACUGCGAGCGUGACGGCGCGAGCAGGUGCGAAAGCAGGUCAUAGUGAUCCGGUGGUUCUGAAUGGAAGGGCCAUCGCUCAACGGAUAAAAGGUACUCCGGGGAUAACAGGCUGAUACCGCCCAAGAGUUCAUAUCGACGGCGGUGUUUGGCACCUCGAUGUCGGCUCAUCACAUCCUGGGGCUGAAGUAGGUCCCAAGGGUAUGGCUGUUCGCCAUUUAAAGUGGUACGCGAGCUGGGUUUAGAACGUCGUGAGACAGUUCGGUCCCUAUCUGCCGUGGGCGCUGGAGAACUGAGGGGGGCUGCUCCUAGUACGAGAGGACCGGAGUGGACGCAUCACUGGUGUUCGGGUUGUCAUGCCAAUGGCACUGCCCGGUAGCUAAAUGCGGAAGAGAUAAGUGCUGAAAGCAUCUAAGCACGAAACUUGCCCCGAGAUGAGUUCUCCCUGAGACUUAAAGUCUCCUGAAGGAACGUUGAAGACGACGACGUUGAUAGGCCGGGUGUGUAAGCGCAGCGAUGCGUUGAGCUAACCGGUACUAAUGAACCGUGAGGCUUAACCCUACAACGCCGAAG
rnacentral:rRNA from 1 species